ensembl:lncRNA
GGAUGGAUUGGAAGUUUGGGGUUAGUGGAUGCAAACUAUUACAGAGCUAUUACAUAUAGAAUGGAUAAACAACAAGAUAUUAUUGUAUAGCACAGGGAACUAUUUUCAAUAUCAUGUGAUAAACCAUAAUGGAAAAGAAUAUGAAAAAGAGUGUAUAUCUGUGUAUCCGGAAUCGCUUUGGGAUACAGCAGAAAUUAACACAACAUUGUAAAUCAACUACACUUCAAUAAAAAUAAAUUAGGAAAAAUAACUGUGACUCUCGUUCAAACUUGAACCUAAUGAACCAAAUGAACCUAAUCAGGUAAUCAGGUAAUUUGGGAGAGAAGUAAUCUCAAUUUUUUUUCAGUUUUAUAUGAAGAGAUCAUAUAAGUAUUUAAAAUAUAUGUGUAAUAUUCUUCAUAGAUUAUUGUGCAUAAAUCUUUGUUAUAAAUUUUUAGUGCUAUAAAAGAUGUCCCUUUCUAUAGCACACCAUCAGCAUGACACCUUUGCUGUGUUGGUAUUUGAUCAGGCACUGAGUCCUCAUUUUACUCUAGGUCCAUUAAUUUAGAAUUCUUUUAAAAUGUACCUGUAAGAAUUCAACUAUAUUCAGCUCAUCUUAUCUACCUUUGUAUUUGCCACUCCAAUUGAUUAAAGUUUUCUUUUCUAUCAGAAGGGAGCAAAUAUUGAACUCUGUAAAUAUUGCUCUAGCUCUGGAAAACCAUCUGUAAGCAUUUAAAAACAUGUAAUCUUUCUCUGUUAUCUGAUUCUUCUCACUGCCCAUCAUCUUAAGAAAUAUCAUCCAUGAAAAACUAAUUUCUCAGAAAACUCAAGCUUUGGUAAAGUAAUGAAUUUGGACAUAUCACAGUUUGAUAACUAAGAUAGAGAAUGUUCUUUGACAAGAUGCUGUGGAGGAAGGUUUUAUUCUCUGUAAAAUAUACCUAGAGAAUUCACUUGGCCUCAGGUAUUGGCAUUGGAUGUCAACAGUGGUGGAUCAUUAAAAGACAGACCAUAACCUGAUAGCUCAAAAAAAUGGGUAAAUUGGCAGCUGGAGGAUAAAGGGUGGAUAAAUAUUUUGGGUGUCCAUAUAUGCUAAAGGUUGUUGGAUGAGAUAGAGUCAGCAUUUUGGUGGCUUCUCUAUUAGCUGAGAAGCAGAUGCCAAUAGUGUUUGUGUGUGUGUGUGUGUGUUAUGCAGUCUUUCACCUUUUCCGCUUUUCACAAAUUCAUGCUGUCCUUUGGUAAUUCCUUCCCCUAUUUAGGCAGGAUGGUAUUGGUUUCCCUUGCAUCAGUCAGUGAGAAUAGAAAUGAUAACAGAUAUUUUAACAAAGAUAAAUUAUUAUGGGGAGAUUGGUUAAAGAUGUGCUGAAAGACUAGCUCUGUAAUUCUAUAGGACUGACACCUGCAGGGAGAAGCUACUACUUCUAGACAAGAGGGUGGGGAAAGGAAGAUUUGAGGUUAUUAGAAACUUGGAGGAAGGGCCCAUGAUGUUGUGAUCUAGAUUUCUGGAGGCAGGAGGUUUUGUCCAGUUGGUGGUACUAAAUCAGAAACUCAAAGAAGGAACAUGGUAGGACUGCAGCCUAGACCUCUGAAGAAAUGCUUUGCCACCACUUCUCCUAUAUCUGAGGGGAGAUCUUGAGGCUGGUUCAGGGAGACCUAAAGAUGGUGUCACGGCUGACUGAUGGUGUCACGGCUGAGGGUCAUUGUUGAAGUGACACCUGCAGGAACAGCAAGCAGAACUAAAACAAUCAAGUCCCUUAUCUGUCCUCCAGCCAUCUGGCCUCUUAAUACCCUUUGCAGAGUCUGAUAUGGAAAUGGCUGACAAAAGAGAGAUAUAUUUGCCGAAUCCCAGCCUCAAUAUCACAAAGCAGGGUACAGAAGGGGGUAAUAGGUUAAUGAGCUAUUAACCUGUUAAAAUCUUUUACCAGGUUUUACUGUUAUAAAGUAUUCCUUAUAGAAUUAUUGUGAAGUCUCUCUCACCAUGAAUGGAGAGACAUAACACACACACACACACACACACACGUAUGAACAGGGUGAAGUGGUGAACUAUAAUCUAGGAUGAUGGAAGUGAUUCAGAGAUGAAACUAAUCUCUCUCUUUCCCCAUUAAAGCUCAAGAAUUUUAGGAGUUCCCAUUGUGAUGCAGUGGAAACGAAUCCGACUAGGAACCAUGAGAUUGUGGGUUCGAUCCCUGGCCUUGCUUGGGUUAAGGAUCUGGUGUUUCAGUGAGCUGUGGUGUAGGUCGAAGACGCAGCUUGGACAAGGCAUUGCUGUGGCUGUGGUGUAGGCCAGUGGCUACAGCUCCGAUUAAACCCCUAGCCUGGGAACCUCCAUACGUCAUGGGUAUGGCCCUAAAGAGACAAAACAAAACAAACAAAAGCUCAAGAAUUUUAUUUAGUCCUUCAGAGAUAUCAUCUCAUUUAAUAAUCCCAACAGCCUUUUUCAGAGAAAUGGGAUUAUCACUCUAUUGCAAAUGAAAAAAAAUUACUCAGAGGAUUUACAUAAUGUCUGCCAGUGAGUAGAAGGUAGGAUUCUGGCCAAGAUUUGCCUGACAACAAAGGAAAUAUUGAGCUUUCUUCAUCUACCAUGAUGUAGAAUAAGGCAAAACCAAGGAGUCAGAAGUACAGGUAAUCAACAAGGAGAGAGCACAGAACCAGGAGAUGGGAGACAGGGACACACAGGGUGACCUUAGUUCUAAGGAGGUGCCCACCCACUCAUGGAGGUGUGGGUGAACUCAGUGUCAGUGCUUUUGAAUUUCACUCUGACUCUGUUUCCUGGAUGGAGUAGUUCUAAUAUUUGGGCUCUUCCCAGUUUUAAAGUUUCUGCUGCCACAAACAGUCUGACUAACAGUAGUCCCCCCUGCCGCCUUCUCAUACCUUUUACUUCAUGCCUCCCACCUUGAUACUUUCCUGUUACUGUUGCGAUGUGAGACCCCAGGGUGCAGGCUCAGGCCCCAUGGGUGUGUAACCCAGAGGUACAGGGGUUAACACCUUUGGAGCAAGGGAUAUAAAGAGAUAUUAGAACAUGGAGGAAAAAUUUUCUUCCUUCCUCUCCUUAAAUGGGCUCUAGAGCUACGACAGUCUUAUGUGGCUUCUGAAGUGAUCCUGUGAGGCUGAACAAACAGCCUGUCACAGAUUCUAGCCACUUCAGUAACACACUCUAUUAUAUUUGCCUCCUCCCUCCCCAGACACUCCUUUUCCCUGCUCUUGCUGCCUUGCAGCUUCACUCCCCAGUAAAAUGCUAGGACAGUAAGCUUUUGCAAAGACUCUUUUUGGGAGGGAGGCGAUUGCUGCGUUAUGGGAAAGAGUGCCAGGCUGUGACAAUGGGAUGUACUUGUGUGUGUGUGUUCCUGAAAGUAAUCCCCCGUAUUUAUCAUUUGGGGCAAUUAAAUAGAAGCUGUAAGUAGAAAAAACAAGGUAGAGAGAGAAGUUCUGGGGGAGAAACGAGGAUUGAUCUGACAUCUCCUGCUUUUAUGGAAUAAAAGCUUGUCAUCCUACAGAUCAGUUCCUGUGCUGAUAAUUUAAAGUAAAUUUCCUCAAAUGGGGCCUAAUGUGUAGUAAUGCUCUAUCCCUGUGGAACUUUUCUGUUGUCAAUCAAACUUCUGUUGGUGUUCAUACAACCCCCUAUUCUCUGAACAGCUGACUCCCACUCAGAAUUUAUGACUCAUUUCUUGUCACCUCCUCUGGGAAGAGCUUGAUAGUUCCUCUCUUUUCUGCCAAACUUUGGAGACUGUUAGGGCACCUUCAUCUAUGUUUUUGAGGUCUUUCAAAAGUUUCUGCGAUGGCAUAAAUCAUUCAAUUUUGGCACAAAAUGGAGAGAUGAAAGGCAGAGAUUAUGCCUGGAUCAUUGCUGAAUUUCUAGAAGCUAACAGAAACUUGACACACAGUAGGCAUUUAAUCAAUAUGUGUUGACUCCAUUGACUGAAUUCAGGCAUUCACAAGGAAACCACAUCAAGUUCUCAAGCUUUUUAAUAACCCUAUUGAACACAUACUAGUAGAAAUUGCUGAAUCAGGCUUGCAUUUUGUGUGAGUAUAAUAUACUCUUGCCUAUACGGUGGAAUAUAGUGGUAUCAGAUGUUCCAUGGUAUUGAAAUAUUGAUCUCUGCCAAUUUUCAGAGCUCCCUACCACUUAAUUAUUUGGCUUUAAAUCUUCAAAGGCCCUGAGGAAAUGCAAAUUUGAAAGCAUCAUACUAAGAUAUCAGAUUAGAGGAGCCCCAAUUCUCUGCUAAAUAAACAACAGAAGGUAGAUUUGGACCUUCUCAGUCUAACAUCAAAAACCAAGACCUGCCCACCCUGCCUCACAGCUUUAUUCAAGUAACAAGUACUUAAAAAGCAAAGUAGGGUAUUCAUCAGCCUCCAGGAUCCAGGAAAAGCAGAAAGAAAAAAAGGGUGGGGGAAAGAAAAGGAAAUAGUUUUAAUGCACCAGAAACAAAACCAGUGGAUCUGAAGCAUUUUGGUCUUUGGAGCACAUGAGAGAAAGGAGCCCAGGAUAAGUAAUUUGAUUGGGAAGAGUAUCAAGACAGGAAUGCAUCUGGUUCACAGGCUUCUCUGUGGCAAAAGGUAAUAGUGAAUGUCUGAGCACCGAGGGCCCCAGAAAGGGCACUGGAAGACUUUCCAUGUACAUCAUAGCCAUGAACAGGCUGCUGGUCUAGAGAAGGAGCUGGAGCUACAAGGUGAUCAGUCGUUUAACGUCUUAGUGAAUGACUUCAGAUCUCAUAGCCUUUCUAUUUUAUGGGACUAGAUAGUAGUUAAGAGUAGGGGGUUUGCCAGUGAAAGACAAACAUUAUAUGAAAUCACUUAUAUGUGGAACCUAAAAAAAGAGUACGAAUGAACUUAUUUGUAGAACAGAAACAGACUCACAGACACUGAAAGGAAACUUAUGGUUACCAAAGGCAACAGGUAUGGGGAGGAAGGAGGGAUGGACUGGGGAGUUUGGGAUUGGCAUAUGCACACUGAGGCAUAUGGAAUGAUUACCCAACAGGGACCUGCUGUAUAGCACAGCGAACUCUACUCAAUAUUCUGUGACAAUCUAUGUGGAAAAAGAAUCUGAAAGAGAAUGGAUGUGUGUACAUGUAUCACUGGAUCACUUUUCUUUAUAGAAGAAGUUAUCACAAUCUUGUAAAUCAACUAUACUUCAAUGAAACUUUAAAAAAAGAGGUUGGAUUUGGGUAUAUAUGUAUGUAUAUAGGAGUGUGCAUAUAUGUAUAUUCCAUAUUUUUUUACUUUGGUAAAUAAUAAUUCACUAACUUUGUGACCAAGUUAGUUCUUUAAUCUCCAUGUGCCUCAGUUGUUACAUCCUUAAAAUGAAGACAAUGAUAUCAUUUACAUCAGAGGGUUACAGGGAACACUAAGGAAAUAACACAAGGACAGCCCUUGUCCCAGGAGUACUGGUAAGUGUUCAAGAAAGGCUCAGUGUUUGUUGUGUUGUGAUUAUUAGAGAUCAGUUCUUUCAGGUAUAUCCUCCAGCUUUGUGUUUUGAAUAAUAAAGAUCCAUUUUAAACAAUUUUUGAAAGGUUCCUAAUCCUCAAAAACAGGGACAUCUGCUUCCUAGGUCCUGAAAAACAGUCACUAAUUUUUCCAAAGCUUCUAAAAAUCCACCAUAUUCUAAAUGACCUUUAUCAAGUGCUGUCGUAGUCUGUGGAGGCGGGGGAGUGACUUGAAGGUGAAAUACCCUGUUAGCAAUCCCCCAGGUGAACGGAAAAUUUAAAAUAAUAUUCUAAUGAUUCAUUGUACAAUACUACGCCCCAUUAGGUGCCUACAUUACAUCUUAGGGCACAAUCAAUAUCUGUCAUCUUGCUUAUGGCUUUGGUGCUAGAGCGGUUCAAUUUCAUUUUGCAACUCUCAUGCCCAUGAAGCUGUAGCUCAGGUGUCAUAUGAUAAAAUAUUACUCAGAAGUACAUAUUCACUCCUAAAGCAGAGUGGGAAAUAAUUGAUGAAGAAGGUGUCUUUCCAUCUGGUCAAACACCAUUAAAGUGAGGCUACGAUUGAUAUGAGGAAAAAAGUAAGACCAACAUUCUAUGAAACUUUUUGGUGAAUCCUUACGAGAGCUUGAUGUGUGUGUGUGUGUGUGUGUGUGUGUGUGUGUGUGUGUGUGUGUGUGCUGUUCUCAAGAGAGUUCUUUUAAAAGCAUUUCUUAGCCAUUUAAACUAGACUGCUAGGAGUUCCUGUUGGGGCACAGUGGAAACAAAUCCAACUAGGAACCAUGAGGUUGUGGGUUUGAUCCCCAGCCUAGCUCAGUGGGUUUAAGGUUGCAGAUGCGGCUAGGAUCUGGCAUUGCUUUGGCUAUGGUGUAGGCUGACAGCUGCAGCUCCAAAUCAGCCCUAGCCUGGGAACUUCCAUAUGUUGUGGGUACUGCCCUAAAAAGACAAAAGACAAAAAAAGAAAAAACUAAACUAGACUGCUAUUUAUGAAGUGUUGAUAUAGGUAAGACUAAUUUAGGAAUAGAUCUGUUAUAUAAAGAGAAGUAUUGAUAUGUAGAAAUGUGGUUCCUUAGCACAGGGAACUCUACAUAAUAUUUUGUGAUAAUCUAUGUGGUAAAAUAAUCUGAAAAAAAUGGAUGUGUGUAUAUCUAUAACUGAGUCACUUUGUUGCAGAAAUUAUCACAACAAUGUAAAUCAACUACAAUAAAA